rnacentral:rRNA from 1 species
UGUGAGGGUUGCUGGAGGUAUCAGAAGUGCGAAUGCUGACAUAAGUAACGAUAAAGCGGGUGAAAAGCCCGCUCGCCGGAAGACCAAGGGUUCCUGUCCAACGUUAAUCGGGGCAGGGUGAGUCGACCCCUAAGGCGAGGCCGAAAGGCGUAGUCGAUGGGAAACGGGUUAAUAUUCCCGUACUUGGUGUUACUGCGAAGGGGGGACGGAGAAGGCUAUGUUGGCCGGGCGACGGUUGUCCCGGUUUAAGCGUGUAGGCUGGUUUUCCAGGCAAAUCCGGAAAAUCAAGGCUGAGGCGUGACGACGAGGCACUACGGUGCUGAAGCAACAAAUGCCCUGCUUCCAGGAAAAGCCUCUAAGCAUCAGGUAACACGAAAUCGUACCCCAAACCGACACAGGUGGUCAGGUAGAGAAUACCAAGGCGCUUGAGAGAACUCGGGUGAAGGAACUAGGCAAAAUGGUGCCGUAACUUCGGGAGAAGGCACGCUGACACGUAGGUGAAGUGAUUUACUCAUGGAGCUGAAGUCAGUCGAAGAUACCAGCUGGCUGCAACUGUUUAUUAAAAACACAGCACUGUGCAAACACGAAAGUGGACGUAUACGGUGUGACGCCUGCCCGGUGCCGGAAGGUUAAUUGAUGGGGUCAGCGCAAGCGAAGCUCCUGAUCGAAGCCCCGGUAAACGGCGGCCGUAACUAUAACGGUCCUAAGGUAGCGAAAUUCCUUGUCGGGUAAGUUCCGACCUGCACGAAUGGCGUAAUGAUGGCCAGGCUGUCUCCACCCGAGACUCAGUGAAAUUGAACUCGCUGUGAAGAUGCAGUGUACCCGCGGCAAGACGGAAAGACCCCGUGAACCUUUACUAUAGCUUGACACUGAACAUUGAGCCUUGAUGUGUAGGAUAGGUGGGAGGCUUUGAAGUGUGGACGCCAGUCUGCAUGGAGCCGACCUUGAAAUACCACCCUUUAAUGUUUGAUGUUCUAACGUGGACCCGUAAUCCGGGUUGCGGACAGUGUCUGGUGGGUAGUUUGACUGGGGCGGUCUCCUCCUAAAGAGUAACGGAGGAGCACGAAGGUUGGCUAAUCCUGGUCGGACAUCAGGAGGUUAGUGCAAUGGCAUAAGCCAGCUUGACUGCGAGCGUGACGGCGCGAGCAGGUGCGAAAGCAGGUCAUAGUGAUCCGGUGGUUCUGAAUGGAAGGGCCAUCGCUCAACGGAUAAAAGGUACUCCGGGGAUAACAGGCUGAUACCGCCCAAGAGUUCAUAUCGACGGCGGUGUUUGGCACCUCGAUGUCGGCUCAUCACAUCCUGGGGCUGAAGUAGGUCCCAAGGGUAUGGCUGUUCGCCAUUUAAAGUGGUACGCGAGCUGGGUUUAGAACGUCGUGAGACAGUUCGGUCCCUAUCUGCCGUGGGCGCUGGAGAACUGAGGGGGGCUGCUCCUAGUACGAGAGGACCGGAGUGGACGCAUCACUGGUGUUCGGGUUGUCAUGCCAAUGGCACUGCCCGGUAGCUAAAUGCGGAAGAGAUAAGUGCUGAAAGCAUCUAAGCACGAAACUUGCCCCGAGAUGAGUUCUCCCUGAGACUUAGAGUCUCCUGAAGGAACGUUGAAGACGACGACGUUGAUAGGCCGGGUGUGUAAGCGCAGCGAUGCGUUGAGCUAACCGGUACUAAUGAACCGUGAGGCUUAACCUUAC